rnacentral:rRNA from 1 species
CCUACGGGAGGCAGCAGUGGGGAAUAUUGGGCAAUGGGCGCAAGCCUGACCCAGCAACGCCGCGUGAAGGAAGAAGGCUUCCGGGUUGUAAACUUCUUUUCUCAGGGAGGAAGAAAGUGACGGUACCUGAGGAAUAAGCCACGGGUAAAUACGUGCCAGCAGCCGCGGUAAUACGUAGGUGGCAAGCGUUAACCGGAUGUAUUGGGUGUAAAGGGCGUGUAGGCGGGAGGGAAAGUCAGAUGUGAAAACUCAGGGCUCAACCCUGGGCCUGCAUUUGACACUGUGUGUCUUGAGUGCUGGAGAGGCAAUCGGAAUUCCGUGUGUAGCGGUGAAAUGCGUAGAUAUACGGAGGAACACCGGUGGCGAAGGCGGAUUGCUGGACAGUAACUGACGCUGAGGCGCGAAAGCGUGGGGAGCAAACAGGAUUAGAUACCCGGGUAGUC